AGUGCUGCAGUGCCUACAGCGAUCUAAAACCAGGAACAAGGAAAGACAACAAUCAAUAAACACUUAUAAAGAAGAGAUGUUGUGAGGAAACCAGAGUAAAGCGGCAAGCUCUGCUGACGCCCUGCAGAGGGAGACAGAAACAUGUGAAUGGGGAUCAGAAGCACGGGGAGCUGUUCCACGGCACUCAACCAGAAUCAAGAGACAGCUAAUGAACAAACGGCAUCACUGGCUACAAAAACAAGAGUAACCUUACAUGACGUGAGCUGUCCAGUGGAGAAUACUGCUCACAGUGACCUCCCAGAAUCCAGAAUCUGACAACAACAAAAAAAAGUUUGCUAAUGAAAAGAAUAUCAAAGCUUCAAAACAACCACCCUUGUAUCAAAAGGUCAGCUCUGUCCGGUCUGAAAUGAGUGCAGCCCAGGGAGCCGACCUCAGUUCUGAUCCGGGUCUUUGGAAGUCAGAUUCAGGCAGAAGAUCAAAAAUUACAUCAGAGUUGCUCCCCGGCCUUCACCGCACAACACCUUUGAAGUUGUCCACUCUGUCUCCAUCUGCCUUUCAAACACCCCCUGGACUAUUUUAUGAGUUCAGCUCAAAGCUAUGCAGUCAUAUUCAAUAAAACUAAAUAUUAUUUAAACGUGCAUUUAUUUUAGUAACUCAACUGUAGAGGAUGAUUUGAUAUGACGACAGCGGAAGAAAACCCAAUAAAGUUAGAAUAUUAGAUCAGACCAAUAA